rnacentral:rRNA from 1 species
CCAAGCUACUAAGGGCAUGUGGUGGAUGCCUUGGCUCUAGGAGGCGACGAAGGACGUGGGUAGCUGCGAUAAGCUACGGGGAGCCGCUAACCAGGCAUUGAUCCGUAGAUUUCCGAAUGGGGAAACCCGCGGCGGGUAAUACUGCCGCAUCCCGUGAUGAAUCCAUAGUCACGGGAAGCGAACCCGGGGAAGUGAAACAUCUCAGUACCCGGAGGAAAAGAAAGCAAACAGCGAUUCCGUCAGUAGUGGCGAGCGAACGCGGAACUAGCCCAAACCGGGCGGACGCAAGUCCGCCUGGGGUUGAGGGGCGCAAUGGGGAUGACCCGGGAGAAAAGCUUCGGUAGGUGAGCCGUCUGGAAAGGCGGACCACAGAGGGUGACAGUCCCGUAACCGAAACUGGAGUGUAUCUCCUGAUUGCGUACCCAAGUAAGGCGGGACACGUGUAAUCCUGCCUGAAUCUGCGAGGACCAUCUCGUAAGGCUAAAUACUACCUAGAGACCGAUAGUGAACAAGUACCGCGAGGGAAAGGUGAAAAGAACCCCUGUUAGGGGAGUCAAAAGAACCUGAAACCGCAUGCCUACAAGCAGUCCGAGGGCUAUGCCGCGCAAGCGGAAUGCCUGAGGGCGUACCUUUUGCAUCAUGAAUCGGCGACUUAAUGGUUGUGGCGAGCUUAAGGCGAUAGCCGGAGGCGCAGCGAAAGCGAGUCCGAAACGGGCGCCAGUCGCAAUCAUUAUAACCCGAAGCCAGGUGAUCUACUCAUGGCCAGGUUGAAGCGCGGGUAAAACCGCGUGGAGGACCGAACUCAUGGAGGUUGAAAACUUCUGGGAUGAGCUGUGAGUAGGGGUGAAAGGCCAAUCAAACUUGGUGAUAGCUGGUUCUCCCCGAAAGAUAUUUAGGUAUCGGCUCGGGAAAUUCAGUUCAGGAGGUAGAGCACUGGAACGGCUAGGGGUCCUACCAGAUUACCAACCCGUACCAAACUCCGAAUGCCUGAAACUGUUAUCCUGGGACGCAGUCGGUGGGUGAUAACAUUCAUCGGCGAGAGGGGAAUAACCCAGAUCGUCGGCUAAGGUCCCAAAGUCCAUGCUAAGUGAUCACAAAAAGGAUGUGGUAGCGCUUUGACAAUCAGGAGGUUGGCUUAGAAGCAGCCAUCCUUUAAAGAUAGCGUAAUAGCUCACUGAUCAAGCGAGACUGCGCCGAAAAUGUAUCGGGUCUCAAGCAUGGCACCGAAGCCACGGGAUCAGCGCAAGCUGAUCGGUAGGGGAGCAUAGAACGGACAGUGAAGCCAGACCGCAAGGACUGGUGGAGUGCGUUCUAGAGCUGAUGCCGAUAUGAGUAGCGACAAAACGAGUGAGAAACUCGUUCGCCGUAAGCCCAAGGUUUCCUGGGGAAGGUUAAUCCGCCCAGGGUUAGUCGGGCCCUAAGCCGAGGCCGAAAGGCGUAGGUGAUGGACAACAGGUUAAUAUUCCUGUACCGCCCCGUUGGCGUUGAAGCGAGGGGGGACGGAGAAGGGUAGCGCAGCCGUCUGACGGUCGUGACGGUUCAAGCCCGUAGGCGGGCCUCAUACGAUGAAAAGGUGAGGCCGUUAACGCCGAGAGGUGAUGACGUGGCCGCAAGGCCUGAAGUGCGUGAUCCCAUGCUUCCUAGAAAAUCCCCGCGUGGAGUCAACGAGGCGCCCGUACCGCAAACCGACUCAGGUGGGCGAGGAGAAAAUCCUAAGGCGCUUGAGAGAACUCUGGUCAAGGAACUCUGCAAUUUUCCACCGUAACUUCGGAAGAAGGUGGGCCCGGGAUUGUGUAGGGACUUGCUCCCGAAGCAAUGCUGGGUCGCAGCGAAAUGGCGGUAGCGACUGUUUAACAAAAACACAGGACUCUGCAAACACGUCAAGUGGAUGUAUAGGGUCUGACGCCUGCCCGGUGCCGGAAGGUUAAGGAGAUUCGUCAGGCCGCAAGGCCAAAGCGAUGAACCGAAGCCCCGGUAAACGGCGGCCGUAACUAUAACGGUCCUAAGGUAGCGAAAUUCCUUGUCGGGUAAGUUCCGACCUGCACGAAAGGCGUAACGACUUCCGCGCUGUCUCGACCAGGGACUCAGCGAAAUUGAAAUAGCUGUGCCGAUGCAGUUUACCCGCGGCAAGACGGAAAGACCCCAUGAACCUUUACUACAACUUGCCACUGACACUAGGAAUUGAUUGUGUAGGAUAGGUGGGAGCCUAUGAACCCUGGGCGCUAGCUCGGGGGGAGGCAACGGUGAAAUACCACCCUGUCGAUUUCUGGUGUCUAACCUGGACCCCUCAUCGGGGUUGGGGACAAUGGCUGGUGGGUAGUUUGACUGGGGCGGUCGCCUCCCAAAAGGUAACGGAGGCGCGCUAUGGUUCCCUCAGCCUGAUUGGAAACCAGGCGUCGAGUGCAAUGGCAUAAGGGAGCUUGACUGCGAGACCGACAGGUCGAGCAGGUGCGAAAGCAGGUCAUAGUGAUCCGGUGGUUCUGUAUGGAAGGGCCAUCGCUCAACGGAUAAAAGGUACUCUGGGGAUAACAGGCUUAUCGCGUCCAAGAGUUCACAUCGACGACGCGGUUUGGCACCUCGAUGUCGGCUCAUCGCAUCCUGGGGCUGGAGCAGGUCCCAAGGGUUUGGCUGUUCGCCAAUUAAAGCGGUACGCGAGCUGGGUUCAAAACGUCGUGAGACAGUUUGGUCCCUAUCUGCCGUGGGCGUAGGAGAAGUGAGAGGAUCUGUCCUUAGUACGAGAGGACCGGGAUGGACGCACCGCUGGUGUACCAGUUGUCUCGCCAGAGGCAUCGCUGGGUAGCUAUGUGCGGAACGGAUAACCGCUGAAAGCAUCUAAGCGGGAAGCCAACCUCAAGACGACUUCUCCCGGGCGCAAGCCCCUGAAGCCCCCUCGAAGACGACGAGGUCGAUAGGCCGGAGGUGUACGCGCUGUGAGGCGCUCAGCUGACCGGUACUAAUAGGGCGUGCGGCUUGGUCUCCCUUUUCU